UCACAUCACAUCUAAACACUGGUUCCUGUAUGAAUACCAAAGUUAAGCAAUGUCAAGCCUGGUCAGUACCUAGAUGAGUGACCCCUUGGGAAUACCAAGUGCUGUAAG